GGGCGGUUAGCUCAGUUGGUUAGAGCGCCUCGUUUACACCGAGGAGGUCAAAGGUUCAAAUCCUUUAUCGCCCACCA
rnacentral:tRNA from 2 species